rnacentral:rRNA from 1 species
GGGGGGGGGGGGGGGGGGGGGGGGGGCGGGGCGGGGGGGGGGGGAGAGGGCGGAGGGUGCGGACUGGUGGUGAACGGGUGAGUAUUGCUGAGGAGUGUGCCCAGUAGUUGGGGAUAACGACUAGAAUGAGUAGAUCAUAACGCAUAAGACGUAUGGGAUAAAGCGGAGUCCUGGAAGGAUUCGAGCGAUUGGUGCGGCCGCUGUCAGAUUAAGUAGUUGGUGGGUCAAAGGCUUACCAAGCCAACGAUCGGUAGCUGCCCUGCUAGGGGGAUCAGCCACACUGGUACUGAGACACGGCCCAGACUCCUACGGGAGGCAGCAGUGGGGAAUUUUGGACAAUGGGCGCAAGCCUGAUCCAGCAAUGCCGCGUGCGGGAAGAAGGCCUUCGGGUUGUAAACUGCUUUUGUACGGAACGAAACGGCUCUGGUUAAUACCCGGAGCUCAUGACGGUACCGAAAGAAAAAGCCCCGGCUAACUACGUG